GACGAACGCUGGCGGCGUGCUUAACACAUGCAAGUCGAACGGAAAGGCCCUGCUUUUGUGGGGUGCUCGAUUGGCGAACGGGUGAGUAACACGUGAGUAACCUGCCCUUGACUUUGGGAUAACUUCAGGAAACUGGGGCUAAUACCGGAUAGGAUCUCCUGCUGCAUGGUGGGGGUUGGAAAGUUUCGGCGGUUGGGGAUGGACUCGCGGCUUAUCAGCUUGUUGGUUGGGUAGUGGCUUACCAAGGCUUUGACGGAUAGCCGGCCUGAGAGGGUGACCGGCCACAUUGGGACUGAGAUACGGCCCAGACUCCUACGGGAGGCAGCAGUGGGGAAUAUUGCACAAUGGGCGGAAGCCUGAUGCAGCAACGCCGCGUGCGGGAUGACGGCCUUCGGGUUGUAAACCGCUUUCGCCUGUGACGAAGCGUGAGUGACGGUAAUGGGUAAAGAAGCACCGGCUAACUACGUG
rnacentral:rRNA from 1 species